rnacentral:rRNA from 1 species
CGCGUAGGCGGAUUGGAAAGUCAGAUGUGAAAUCCUGGGGCUCAACCCCAGAACAGCAUUUGAAACUCCCAAUCUAGAGGAUAGGCGGAGAAAAUGGAAUUCCACAAGUAGCGGUGAAAUGCGUAGAUAUGUGGAAGAACACCAGUGGCGAAAGCGGUUUUCUAGCUUAAACCUGACGCUGAGGCGCGAAAGUAAGGGGAUCAAACA